rnacentral:rRNA from 1 species
CCUACGGGAGGCAGCAGUGGGGAAUAUUGCACAAUGGGCGCAAGCCUGAUGCAGCCAUGCCGCGUGUGUGAAGAAGGCCUUCGGGUUGUAAAGCACUUUCAGCGGGGAGGAAGGCGUUAAGGUUAAUAACCUUGUCGAUUGACGUUACCCGCAGAAGAAGCACCGGCUAACUCCGUGCCAGCAGCCGCGGUAAUACGGAGGGUGCAAGCGUUAAUCGGAAUUACUGGGCGUAAAGCGCACGCAGGCGGUCUGUCAAGUCGGAUGUGAAAUCCCCGGGCUCAACCUGGGAACUGCAUUCGAAACUGGCAGGCUAGAGUCUUGUAGAGGGGGGUAGAAUUCCAGGUGGAGCGGUGAAAUGCGUAGAGAUCUGGGGGAAUACCGGUGGCGAAGGCGGCCCCCUGGACAAAGACUGACGCUCAGGUGCGAAAGCGUGGGGAGCAAACAGGAUUAGAUACCCCGGGAGUC